rnacentral:rRNA from 1 species
GACGAACGCUGGCGGCGUGCUUAACACAUGCAAGUCGAACGGAAAGGCCCUGCUUUUGUGGGGUGCUCGAGUGGCGAACGGGUGAGUAACACAUGAGUAACCUGCCCUUGACUUUGGGAUAACUUCAGGAAACUGGGGCUAAUACCGGAUAGGAGCUCCUGCUGCAUGGUGGGGGUUGGAAAGUUUCGGCGGUUGGGGAUGGACUCGCGGCUUAUCAGCUUGUUGGUGGGGUAGCGGCUUACCAAGGCUUUGACGGGUAGCCGGCCUGAGAGGGUGACCGGCCACAUUGGGACUGAGAUACGGCCCAGACUCCUACGGGAGGCAGCAGUGGGGAAUAUUGCACAAUGGGCGGAAGCCUGAUGCAGCAACGCCGCGUGCGGGAUGACGGCCUUCGGGUUGUAAACCGCUUUCGCCUGUGACGAAGCGUGAGUGACGGUAAUGGGUAAAGAAGCACCGGCUAACUACGUG